rnacentral:lncRNA from 10 species
GAUUGCUUAGAAACUAGCGGUUAAAGAUGGAGUCUAGGGAACAGUCGAGAGUCACGCAAAUGUUAGAGGUGCCCUUGGCCUCAUGAGUGGUCGGUAGAAGGCGGCUGCAAGGAGCCUUUGAAAUGGUGCCGAGUUCUUCCUCUGCCAGAAAGCCUUUCCUCCGCGCUGACUGUGUCAAAGGCUACUCCCAGAUCUGUGGAAAGCUGAAUAAAUGAACAGGGCCAUUUGACAGAGUGUAACCCACACCAGACCUGUUGUGCAAUGCCUUGAACAUUCACAGGGAGAUCAAGUAUUUUGCCCAAGAGCACACAGCUAGAGAGUGGAGAAGUCCGGAUUCAACCCAGACAGAUUGACUCCAGAGCGUGUGCUAUUCGUGGCUAUGCCAGAAUGCCCUGAUGGCCUCAGGUUUGCCUUGCCAACUGACAAAGGCGACUGUUUCCUACCCAUUGGCUCAGAUGGUUCCAGCUUCCUACCCUUCCAGUUAAAAUAAACAAAAAC